UGAGAUUCUGCAAGGCAUGAGGUCACAAGACAGUAAUUCCGAGGUCCCAGCGGCACCAGAUGAUUCCAGGGCACCCACCUUUGUGGUAAAGAGAGCAUCUACAUCAUGCCAGGCCCGCAGCUUGGCGCGAGCAGCUAGGGCCGUCAGCACAUACUGCUUAUCCGGGAUCUAAAAAGCAGAGACCAGGGAAUUAAGGUGGUACCUUUCAGAAGAGAAGCUUGACAUACAUUCAUCAUGGUAGCCUUGUUCUAGCUUCUGAUGGCCCUUAAUAUACUCUACGGAUAUUCCUUGACUUACAAUGAGGUUAACAUCCUGAUAAAUCAAACGUAAAUUGAAAAUAUCAUGAGUCGAAAUUGCUGAGCAUCGUGGCUUAGCCUAGCCUACCUUCAAUAUGCGUAGAACACUUAUAUUAGUCUACAGUUGGGCGAGAUCAUCUAACGCAAGGCCUCUAUUAUAAUAAAGUGUUGAAUAUCUCAUGUAA